UACGUAGGCAGCGAGCGUUGUUCGGAGUUACUGGGCGUAAAGGGUGUGUAGGCGGUUGUUUAAGUUUGGUAUGAAAUCUCCCGGCUCAACUGGGAGGGUGCGCCGAAUACUGAAUGACUUCGAGUACGGGAGAGGUGAGUGGAAUUCCUGGUGUAGCGGUGAAAUGCGUAGAUAUCAGGAGGAACACCGGUGGUGUAGACGGCUCACUGGACCGUAACUGACGCUGAGACACGAAAGCGUGGGUAGCAAACAGG
rnacentral:rRNA from 1 species